GGGGGGGGGGGGGGGGGGGGUGGGGGGGGGGGGGGGGGACGGGGAGGGCGGGCGGUGGUGGGGUGGGCGAGUGGCGAGAGGGGGGGUAGGCGGUGAGUGAGCUGCCGUUGGGUUGGGGAUGGCUUGAGGGAAUGGGGGCUAAUCGGGGAUUGGCGGUCAGUGUGCAUGGUGGGGGGUGGGGCGUUUCGGCGGUUGGGGAUGGACUCGCGGCUUAUCAGCUUGUUGGUGGGGUAGUGGCUUACCAAGGCUUUGACGGGUAGCCGGCCUGAGAGGGUGACCGGCCACAUUGGGACUGAGAUACGGCCCAGACUCCUACGGGAGGCAGCAGUGGGGAAUAUUGCACAAUGGGCGGAAGCCUGAUGCAGCAACGCCGCGUGCGGGAUGACGGCCUUCGGGUUGUAAACCGCUUUCGCCUGUGACGAAGCGUGAGUGGCGGUAAUGGGUAAAGAAGCACCGGCUAACUACGUG
rnacentral:rRNA from 1 species